rnacentral:rRNA from 1 species
AGCGAACGCUGGCGGCAUGCCUAACACAUGCAAGUCGAACGAGACCUACGGGUCUAGUGGCGCACGGGUGCGUAACGCGUGGGAACCUGCCCUUAGGUUCGGAAUAACUCCCCGAAAGGGGUGCUAAUACCGGAUAAUGUCUUCGGACCAAAGAUUUAUCGCCUUUGGAUGGGCCCGCGUUGGAUUAGCUAGUUGGUAGGGUAAAAGCCUACCAAGGCGACGAUCCAUAGCUGGUCUGAGAGGAUGAUCAGCCACACUGGGACUGAGACACGGCCCAGACUCCUACGGGAGGCAGCAGUGGGGAAUAUUGGACAAUGGGCGAAAGCCUGAUCCAGCAAUGCCGCGUGAGUGAUGAAGGCCUUAGGGUUGUAAAGCUCUUUUACCCGGGAUGAUAAUGACAGUACCGGGAGAAUAAGCUCCGGCUAACUCCGUG